rnacentral:rRNA from 1 species
CCACGCCGUAAACGAUGAGUGCUAAGUGUUGGAGGGUUUCCGCCCUUCAGUGCUGCAGCUAACGCAUUAAGCACUCCGCCUGGGGAGUACGACCGCAAGGUUGAAACUCAAAGGAAUUGACGGGGGCCCGCACGAGCGGUGGAGCAUGUGGUUUAAUUCGAAGCAACGCGAAGAACCUUACCAGGUCUUGACAUCCUUUGACCACUCUAGAGAUAGAGCUUCCCCUUCGGGGGCAAAGUGACAGGUGGUGCAUGGUUGUCGUCAGCUCGUGUCGUGAGAUGUUGGGUUAAGUCCCGCAACGAGCGCAACCCUUAUUGUUAGUUGCCAUCAUUCAGUUGGGCACUCUAGCAAGACUGCCGGUGACAAACCGGAGGAAGGUGGGGAUGACGUCAAAUCAUCAUGCCCCUUAUGACCUGGGCUACACACGUGCUACAAUGGGAAGUACAACGAGUCGCGAAGUCGCGAGGCUAAGCUAAUCUCUUAAAGCUUCUCUCAGUUCGGAUUGUAGGCUGCAACUCGCCUACAUGAAGCCGGAAUCGCUAGUAAUCGCGGAUCAGCACGCCGCGGUGAAUACGCUCCCGGGCCUUGUACACACCGCCCGUCACACCACGAGAGUUUGUAACACCCGAAGUCGGUGAGGUAACCUUUUUGGAGCCAGCCGCCUAAGGUGGGAUAGAUGAUUGGGGUGAAGUCGUAACAAGGUAACCAAGGGCGAAUUCGCGGC